rnacentral:lncRNA from 1 species
GCCUAGAACUGGGUCAGGCAUUGUAGAAAACAAACAUAAAGCACAGCUAUAUAAAAUACAAAACCCCUGCUUCGGCCCUCAAGCUGUCUACACACCAGUCAACAAAAUAUUUCAUUAACGUUUCUUCCCCAAGUGGAGUAAGUCUGUUUGCAUUCUGUGUGCUUGUAGGCGUGUGUGAUGCUGGGAGUGAACCGGAGCCUUGCACAUGCUAGUCUGGUGCUCUAACCCUGGCCCCUUAUUUGUAGUCUCCUUGUUGGGCUUGUAUUGCUCUCACGCUGUUUCAUACAUCGUAACUGAAGGGCCUUCUAAGUGUUUACCCACUUUUGUACAUAAUACUUGCCAUCAUGUUAAAAAAAUGGGAAGAUUAAUGAUGAGAGAAGACACUUUUCACUGGACCUGACUCAUGGGGAUGACCAACAUUAUCCAAAUCCAAAAAGACUGUUGUGUACACCCAAGUGCCAAUUUAUUGCUUUUAAAUGUGUGUGUGUGAGCUGGGAAGCCACUUUAUAACAAGGUUAUGGAUGACCAUGAACUUCCACCUGGGGCCCUGGUGAAAGAUUUUGAGUGCAUCUGGCAUCAGGCUCUGAGAAUCAACUCCUGCAUCUUCCACUGAGAAGGUGAUGUGCCCUGGGGCUGCCUGUGUCCCUGGGCCAGGCUGCCCUCUCACUCGGGCAGGACUAGAGGCUGCCCUUUCUCCCUGUUUCCACGGUGUCCCAGAAAGACUCCUCCUGACUGACGUAGUCUCUUUAGGUAUGUAACCUAAUCGUCCAGGGGAAAGUCAUGCUCUCUACCUCCACAGGCUUUCCUCUGGCUUUAAGAGGCUUUGUGUGUCUUUUUGGUCCAUUUUAUAGUCCAACUGCAAGAGGACUAGAAAACUUAUAAAAUAAGACAUGCAAACUCAUGUCUUAUUUCUGUCUCUGUUCUCCUCUGCUGCUUAGAGCCGGCCACCGCAUACCUGCUGUGCUAC